AAUGGGUUAACAUAAUUAAACACAGGCAGUAAAAAUACAGUUUUUACCCAUACCCUGUAACUUUAAAACUACACAUCCAAUCUUCAUAACAAUUACAUAUUUAUAAUCAAUCCAUUCAGGGGAGCAACAUAUUAAAAAAUGGCACAAAUCAGACAAGGGGUUCAAAAGUUAGCAAAAGUAUAUUUUGGGGCCUGGCUGGCAGCAUGGUUAUCUGGCCCAAACCGGUUUUACAGAGC